AUUGAACGCUGGCGGCAGGCCUAACACAUGCCAGUCGAACGGUAACAGGAAGAAGCUUGCUUCUUUGCUGACGAGUGGCGGACGGGUGAGUAAUGUCUGGGAAACUGCCUGAUGGAGGGGGAUAACUACUGGAAACGGUAGCUAAUACCGCAUAACGUCGCAAGACCAAAGAGGGGGACCUUCGGGCCUCUUGCCAUCGGAUGUGCCCAGAUGGGAUUAGCUAGUAGGUGGGGUAACGGCUCACCUAGGCGACGAUCCCUAGCUGGUCUGAGAGGAUGACCAGCCACACUGGAACUGAGACACGGUCCAGACUCCUACGGGAGGCAGCAGUGGGGAAUAUUGUACAAUGGGCGCAAGCCUGAUGCAGCCAUGCCGCGUGUAUGAAGAAGGCCUUCGGGUUGUAAAGUACUUUCAGCGGGGAGGAAGGGAGUAAAGUUAAUACCUUUGCUCAUUGACGUUACCCGCAGAAGAAGCACCGGCUAACUCCGU
rnacentral:rRNA from 1 species